rnacentral:rRNA from 1 species
AGAGUUUGAUCCUGGCUCAGGAUGAACGCUGGCGGCGUGCUUAACACAUGCAAGUCGAACGAUGAAGCCCUUCGGGGUGGAUUAGUGGCGAACGGGUGAGUAACACGUGGGCAAUCUGCCCUUCACUCUGGGACAAGCCCUGGAAACGGGGUCUAAUACCGGAUAACACUCUGUCCCGCAUGGGACGGGGUUGAAAGCUCCGGCGGUGAAGGAUGAGCCCGCGGCCUAUCAGCUUGUUGGUGGGGUGAUGGCCUACCAAGGCGACGACGGGUAGCCGGCCUGAGAGGGCGACCGGCCACACUGGGACUGAGACACGGCCCAGACUCCUACGGGAGGCAGCAGUGGGGAAUAUUGCACAAUGGGCGAAAGCCUGAUGCAGCGACGCCGCGUGAGGGAUGACGGCCUUCGGGUUGUAAACCUCUUUCAGCAGGGAAGAAGCGAGAGUGACGGUACCUGCAGAAGAAGCGCCGGCUAACUACGUGCCAGCAGCCGCGGUAAUACGUAGGGCGCAAGCGUUGUCCGGAAUUAUUGGGCGUAAAGAGCUCGUAGGCGGCUUGUUGCGUCGGUUGUGAAAGCCCGGGGCUUAACCCCGGGUCUGCAGUCGAUACGGGCAGGCUAGAGUGUGGUAGGGGAGAUCGGAAUUCCUGGUGUAGCGGUGAAAUGCGCAGAUAUCAGGAGGAACACCGGUGGCGAAGGCGGAUCUCUGGGCCAUUACUGACGCUGAGGAGCGAAAGCGUGGGGAGCGAACAGGAUUAUAUACCCUGGUAGUCCACGCCGUAAACGUUGGGAACUAGGUGUUGGCGACAUUCCACGUCGUCGGUGCCGCAGCUAACGCAUUAACUUCCCCGCCUGGGGAGUACGGCCGCUAGGCUAAAACUCAAAGGAAUUGACGG